UACGAAGGGUGCAAGCGUUACUCGGAAUUACUGGGCGUAAAGCGUGCGUAGGUGGUUUGUUAAGUCUGUUGUGAAAGCCCCGGGCUCAACCUGGGAAUGGCAAUGGAUACUGGCAAGCUAGAGUGCGGUAGAGGGUAGUGGAAUUCCCGGUGUAGCGGUGAAAUGCGUAGAGAUCGGGAGGAACACCAGUGGCGAAGGCGACUUACUGGACACAUAUUGACGCUGAGGUGCGAAAGCGUGGGGAGCAAACAGGGA
rnacentral:rRNA from 1 species